UACGAAGGGGGCUAGCGUUGCUCGGAAUUACUGGGCGUAAAGCGCACGUAGGCGGCUUUCUAAGUCGGGGUGAAAUCCUGGAGCUCAACUCCAGAACUGCCUUCGAUACUGGAGCUUGAGUCCGGAGAGGUGAGUGGAACUGCGAGUGUAGAGGUGAAUUCGAUAGAUAUCGCAAGAACACCAGUGGCGAAGGCGGCUCACUGGCCCGGUACUGACGCUGAGGUGCGAAAGCGUGGGAGCAA
rnacentral:rRNA from 1 species